GGCCUUAUGGUCUAGUAGUAUGAUUCCUGCUUUGGGUUUGGGUUCUAGACCAUAGAGCCAAGUUGCAGGAGGUCCUGGGUUCAACUCCCAGUGAGGCCC